CCUGGCGCGCACUCCAAUGCCCAGCACGCUGCCCCUCCAGCGCCCAGCGCGGCCGCCACCUGCAACCCCCCUUCCACCCCCACCUCAACCCCCGUAUAGAUCUGCCGCUUCCUCGUCCUGCCUCGGCGCCGUUUGCAUCGCUGUGACGAAGGCUUCGUCGGUCUUCACCUCCGGCACCUACAUCCUGAAGGAGUACGACCUCGUGGCUGGUAUGGAUCUGAAUGCCCACCCCUUCCCUGAUCUGACCGGUACUAAUUCUCUGAGGUGCAUGCUAGGUGAAACGCAACUGUACUGAUUCAGGGGCCGAGACAAGGACUGGCGAGCAUGGAUCAGAUCCCUGCUAAUCACUCUCCCCCCCUCAACAAUUCAUAGCACAGUGUGUACUAUAGAUGCCUAAUGGCCGCAGCUAAUUUCUUAAUUAGUCCAUACGUAGACAAAUAAUUAAACCAUCACUGAUGUAAAAAAGGCCCAUAAACCAUGUACGGUUGUGUCUGACUAUAUUUUUGCGACGUGACAAUGCCUAUUCAUCAAUCAGGUCGAUCCAUUCAUAUAUGUGUAUUCUACACUACUGCUAGAUUGAUCCAUUGACUAUUGUUUAAAUCUGAUCAAACUUAUAUAGAAAUAUGACAGACCUUCGACUAGUUAAUUAAUGUUUCAUAUAAAACAGUAAAGUAGUCUAAUAAUUAUGUGUCUUUUUAUAUAUAGUAGUCAAAGAUGAAACAAAAGACAUGAACAACUAUUGUGGAAAAUUAUUUUUCAAACCAAUUGCUUCAACUUCAAGAUGCAACAUUCUUGUUGAGAAUUGACUUUUUUUUCCUGUACCAGUGCAUGAACCAUAUGAAACAUUAAUUCUUGUUGUGAACAUUCUUGGUUGUGACAUCAAAUAUAUGGUUCAUGCAAAUUCUAUUAUCAUUGUCGUUCAAUGGUAAUAUUGACCUAAUAUUGACCAUAAUAUAGGUCGCUUCCAAAGUAGUUUUAAAGACUUCAACAUAUACCACCAAGCAGAAUGUUGUGUAUGGUACUAUUCGGAGUACUGAUCCAAGAACUAAGGUUGGUGGUCUUGAGUUAGGUGCUGAAUUUGCCCUUAUGCGCAUAGAUCAACCUAUUCUUGAUAGUGAGGAGUUGGUAAGGGAAGUUUGAUUGCAAGACAAUUGGUGAGGUUUUCUCUUCAGGAUACAUAAUUGCACGACCUUCAUCUUUUAUUAGAGCGAAGGAUAAUUGAGUUUAGUUGAAUUCUUGGAUCAAGAAGCAAAUAAAGUUUGAUGAUUUUAGCUACCAAGAGUUGUAGUUGUACAUUUAUAGAUUGAAAAAUGUAAUAUCAUCAUCAAGAUCCUUUUCUUUCGUCGAAUUGAUGCAAGCGCUAUGCUGUAAUGUUCUCCAUAGUUGUUUUUUCUAUGCUCAAAUGAUGUGAAUGAUAUCUUUAUU